rnacentral:rRNA from 1 species
AGACUAACAGGAUUCCCCUAGUAACUGCGAGUGAAGAGGGAAAAGCUCAAAUUUAAAAUCUGACAGUCUAUGGCUGUCCGAGUUGUAAAUUAGAGAAGUGUUAUCUGCUCAAGCCUGUGCAAAAGUCUCUUGGAAAAGGGCAUCAUAGAGGGUGACAAUCCCGUCUUUGGCACAGAUCACUUGCGCUUUUGUGAUGCGCUCUCAAUGAGUCGAGUUGUUUGGGAAUGCAGCUCCAAAUGGGUGGUAAAUUCCAUCUAAAGCUAAAUAUUGGCGAGAAACCGAUAGCGCACAAGUACCGUGAGGGAAAGAUGAAAAGAACUUUGAAAAGAGAGUUAAACAGUACGUGAAAUUGUUGAAAGGGAAACGCUUGGAGUCAGUCGUGUUCUGCAAAAUCAACCUAACCUUUGGUUGGGUGUAUUUUUUGUAGAAUGGGUCAGCAUCAAUUUUGAUUGUUGGAAAAAGGACUUGGGAAUGUGGCAUCUUUGGAUGUGUUAUAGCCCUUGUUUGUAUACAAUGAUUGGGAUUGAGGAACUCAGUGUGACAUUUGUUUGGGGGCAUUGCCUCACAUCAACGCACUUAGGAUGCUGGCAUAAUGGCUUUAAUCGACCCGUCUUGAAACACGGACCAAGGAGUCUAACAUGCAUGCAAGUGUUUGGGUGGAAAACUCAAGCGCGUAAUGAAAGUGAAAGUUGAGAACCCUGUCGUGGGGUGCAUCGACGCCCGGUCUUGACCUUUUGUGACGGACCUGCGGUAGAGCAUGUAUGUUGGGACCCGAAGAUGGUGAACUAUGCCUGAUAGGUGAAGCCAGAGGAACUCUGGUGAGCUCGUAGCGAUUCUGACGUGCAAUCGAUCGUCGAUUGGGUAUAGGCGAAGACUAUCGACAUCUAGUAGCUGUUCUGC